GAAGGCCCCACUGUCUUAAGGAAAUUCCCAGUGAAAUUGAAUUCGUAGUGAAGAUGCUACGUCCAAUUUGUUAGACGAAAAGACCCCGUUGAGCUUUACUGGGGCACUUACACGGCCGAAUUGAAAUGGGCGGCUUAGACUAUGUGGCAGCCCCCCGUCGGGGCAGAUGAAACCCCACUCCCCCAUGUCAAAGGGGCUAACCCCCCCUCGGGGGGGGACAGUGUAAGUAGGACAGUUUGGUUGGGGCGACCGCCUUUUAGAGAGUAACGAAGGUGCGCUUAAGGUGCGCAAUUAAUGACUGAAGCCUGACUGCGAGGGGGACACCCCGAGCAGACACCCCCCAGCCCGCGAGGGCGGGGGUGGGCCAUAGUGACCCGUUAAUUUAGAGUGGAAUAGUUAACGAUCAACGAAUAAAAGUUACCACGGGGA
rnacentral:rRNA from 1 species